rnacentral:rRNA from 1 species
UACGGGGGGGGCAAGCGUUGUUCGGAAUUACUGGGCGUAAAGGGUUUGUAGGUGGCCCGCUAAGUCACACGUGAAAUCCCUCAGCUUAACUGGGGAACUGCGUGUGAGACUGGCAGGCUCGAGGGCAGGAGAGGAACGCGGAAUUCCAGGUGUAGCGGUGAAAUGCGUAGAGAUCCGGAAGAACACCGGUGGCGAAGGCGGUCUGCUGGGCAGUUGCUGACGCUGAUGCGCGACAGCGUGGGGAGCAAACAGG